CAGAGCAGCAUAACAUGGUCAGCUGGAUAACAUGGAAUCCUUCAGAAUAAAUUGCUGCUGCCAAGCUAACAAUGCAGUUAACACGACACUUUUCCAAAUUGCUUGGCCGUCAUAUUACUCUGAUAUUCACGGAACUAUCACUGUGGUAAGGAGAAAGAAAGCAUCUCUUUUCUUAUUGUAUAUAUGUUGCUUCAAGGCUGUUCUUAUCUACAUGUAGACACACAUCUACACACCCUUCAGAGUUGUACUGGAAGACACGCUCCUCUCUCCUUUAUCAGUGUACACCAACUCAUCAGCCAGAAUGCCUUUCUCUGGAACACAUUUUUUCAAUUUCUGAGCAAAAACUGCAGUAACCUCAGUUUCUCUUCAUCAGACAAAUUAAAGAUGCAUACCAAAUGAACUCUCUACAAAUACUUGUCUUGAUCAGAGUGGAAACAUUUCUGUUGUGGACAACGAUGUUAUAGCAGUGCUAUGUACGGGGUGUUCAAGAUCAGAUAAGGCUUUGAACUUCCAAGAUGGAAGUGGUUCCAAUAGAAGGUAUUUUCUC
rnacentral:lncRNA from 1 species